AGUGAACGCUGGCGGUAGGCCUAACACAUGCAAGUCGAACGGCAGCACAGUAAGAGCUUGCUCUUACGGGUGGCGAGUGGCGGACGGGUGAGGAAUACAUCGGAAUCUACUUUUUCGUGGGGGAUAACGUAGGGAAACUUACGCUAAUACCGCAUACGACCUACGGGUGAAAGCAGGGGAUCUUCGGACCUUGCGCGAUUGAAUGAGCCGAUGUCGGAUUAGCUAGUUGGCGGGGUAAAGGCCCACCAAGGCGACGAUCCGUAGCUGGUCUGAGAGGAUGAUCAGCCACACGGGAACUGAGACACGGUCCAGACUCCUACGGGAGGCAGCAGUGGGGAAUAUUGGACAAUGGGCGCAAGCCUGAUCCAGCCAUACCGAGUGGGUGAAGAAGGCCUUCGGGUUGUAAAGACCUUUUGUUGGGAAAGAAAAGCAGCAGGUUAAUACCCCGCUGUUCUGACGGUACCCAAAGAAUAAGCACCGGCUAACUUCGUG
rnacentral:rRNA from 1 species